rnacentral:lncRNA from 1 species
UUUUUUUUUCGUGACUAUGUGGUCUGGAAACUGAAGAAGAUGACCUUUUCUUUGCUUCCAGAGUGGUUUGUCAAUCUCAAAUCCUUUUCUAGACCUUUCCAUUUCCACCUUGGACCUAAUCCCAAUAUUCUUUUUCUAGAGAAUAUUCUUCCUUUUAUUAAAGGAAUAACCCAAUUUGCCCUAGGUUGUGAAGCAAUCUAUAUUUUUAUCACUCCCAAAAAUUCCCAAAUAAUUCUCAUAAAUUGUUUGGGUCAUAUCUUCCUCAAAUAUGGAAAAAUAUUUCAUUGGCCAUGUUUCCCAUCAUGCUCAAUUAAUUCCUUUCCUAUUCUGUCCUAUGCUCAAUUAAUUCCUUUCCUAUUCUGUCCUGAAUGGCAGUUGUGAAGCAAGUGUCAAUUAUCUUUACCCUAUUGACCCCAAACUUUUUGGACACCUAUUCAUGUCCAAAUAAUUGUCUCAUGCCAAAAUUUAACUUAAUUUGUCUAGUAAAUAUUCCUGAGCAAUUUUUUAAAGUUCCCGUCUAAGGGAAUUGAUUGUGAAGGAAGUACAGGCUAGACAUAUCCAAAUGAGUUGAAAUUUUGCAAGGUCCUUCAGAUGAUCAAAUAAUGACUCUUCAUCAAAUAUGAGCUCAUAUAACUCAACUAUGUGAGCCCAGCCCCAAAUCUUAGUUUCUGGUCAGAUUUUCAGUUUGUGAAGCAACCAUAUUUUAUAUUGCUUCAUUUAAGCUGAAAAUUUACUAGGGCAUUCUCCUAUCCAUAUAAACUCUCCCCACCAAGAUUUAGCUCAAUCCAUUACAUCAUUUGCUUUGUGCAAUUUUUCUAAGUUUCUGUCCAGAGCAAAGCUAUAUGAAGCAAGUGCUAUUUUGGUUCAUCCAAAUAACAUGAAACUUUUUGAGCAUCUUCAUAUCUUCAAAUCAUUGGGCCAUGCCCAAUUUCAAAUCAACUUGCCUCUUCAAAUGAGUGCAUCAUCUAAAUCACCUAAUCUGGCCAGUAUGGCAGUUUCUACAGCAAUCCUCAGCUAAACCUCUCCUCUUAGUCUGAUUUUUGGUAACCAGAAUCACCUUAGUGAUUAAUCAUGCUAUGCCAAAUCUCAGAGCCUAAAUCCUCUCAUGUGAACCACGGAGGGCAACAAACACCUUCCCGUUGAUCUGCUUUGGAGCUAGGUGCAAAUCUCUUCUUUGCCCCUGGACCCAAUUAUUUCUUCAGAUAGAUUAAGGGCACCAUGGACUUUCUGCUAGACACCAAUUUGGGCGCCAGUGAGCAUUGAAUGCCCAGGGUCACGCGGUGACCACUGCCCUGGCAUGCCAUGGCCGCGAGCUGGGUAGUGUUUUGCUCGGGCCCCUCCUCCUCUCGUCGUCUUCGCGCUCGUGAGCAUGUCCAACAGGUUCCCCGCGUCGUCGCCGUCCUCCUGGAGCCAUCUUCCCCUCCAUAAGCCUUUCUGUCAGCGCUCGUCGUCGUUCGCCCACGGGAUCACUGUGUCCGACAGCGUUUUAAUGGCGCUCGGCCUCUUCCUCUGCUCCCACUUGGCUCCUGCUGCCCCGUGCUCCUCUGUAGCUCGUCUGUUCUCCCCUCGCCGCCUUCCCCGCGCCUCCCCGUGAUCACUGCCGUCGCCAGGGCCUCGGCCGGACGUGCCUGGCAGCACCCGAGCUCGUGCCUCUUGCCCCGGCUAUAUAUAGCCAUCCCAGUGGCCUCCCGAGCUCAUCAGCCUCCUCUCCUCCCUUCUCUAGACCUCCCCAGCCUCUCACCCGAGCUCGAGAGCCUCUCCUCGACCCCCAUGGCCACCGUGCCCGCCGUCGGCCUCGGCCUAAAUUGGCUCAGCACCGGCCUCCCUUCCUCAUAAUUUCACCACCAGAACCACCACCGCACUCCGGCGACCAUCCCCACCUACUUGCCUUGUCACCGAAGCCACGUUUGGCCACCGCCCCACGAACGUCCGCCGCCACUCCGUCCUCUGUUGUCUCCAAGUCGCGGCCGUCCUAGCUUUCCUCGGUGUUCGUUAUCUCUUUGAAUGGAAGCGGCGUGGCCUCCCAAGCCCACCGGUGGCUCCGCCCUCGCCGAAGAUGGCCGGAGCCGGCCGACCCGUCGCCGGUGACGCGCCUUCCCCUGCCUCCGCUGUCACGUGCGGGAGCAGGGCGAGGAAGAAGACAGAGGCCAGGCGGGCCCACUCCCCACGCGACCCCACCUGGCAGCCACACGCGUUGACCCCGCCCCUGCCACGUCGGAUAAGUGGCGACGUACUUCCAAUGAGUACGCUUUCUAUUUCUGGAAAGCGUAUUUUGCUUCUCCAUCAGGCAGAGUGCGUUUUCUUUUAUUGAAAGCGUAUUUCUCUCUGUUUCAGUCUAGAAUAUGUUUCUCCGAGGCAAAGGCGUAUUUCCGGAAGUGCGCGUUUUGUUUUUCCGGCUGAGGGCUUGUUUGUGAUGAUUUUAUUUACAAAUGGGUCCUUGGCAGAAAAGCAACUAUAUCUUUUUGCUCGUAACUUCGAUUGAGGUGAAUCCAAAGCCCACUUCUUCGUUUCGUCGAGCCCGUUUCGAUGGAAUCAUUUUCACCAUGUUUUGAAAUUUUGAAAAUGAUCAGUUUGCCCUUGCCCCUAAUCAGGCCCCUUUGGGAGAGAAACUUUUCCGGCGAUUCCUUUCGCGGUCUUUCCACACUUCUCCCCGGAGCCUUCUUCAUCCCCAGGCAAGCCACAAUACCCACUUGCAUGAUAGUCAUGCAGUAGCCAUGGUUUUUAACUUGAAUAUUUAAUCAAUGUUUGCUCGUUUAAAAUAUGGUUACCGUUGUUCCGGUGAUGCUUAGAGUUUCAUGUUCACUCUCGUGCUAUGUUGUCUUGCACUUGGUUAUCAUGUAUUCCUGCUAGUAUUCCUUUCAUAUGCUUAUGCUUGCUAGUAGUACAUGUUGAUGUCGGUGAUGGUCUUCGGUGCAUGACUAUCAUCUGUUCCGAGUGCCGUCGUUAUGCAUGUUCCAUUGCAUCCCGUUGGUUAAAUGCCUGCAUGGUAGCAUUGUUGAUAUGUUGUUGCAUGAUAUUUAUUGUUGAUGCUAGUGGUCAUGCUAUGUUUCUGAGAAGUGUAUACUUGUGAUGUUCAUGCUAGUCAGUAUGCCAUGCUCAGUCAGAUAUAUGAUUUGUUGUUGUAUUGUUAAGAAGUAAUGAUGCCCAACCAUGCUUAUGUUGAUGUCAUACUCAUGUAUUGUAGUUCCAUCAUGUUAUUUUCAUACGACUCGGCUUAUUGCAUUCAAGUUUAAUCGACUUAAUUGAACUUGAACAACUGUUGGCUGAGUCAUGGUGCCACUAUAUCGGGCUGACAAGUGCAACCACAUUUGACUUUAUGGGGAGGCUGGUAGUCGUCCGUUGUCAUGCCUUUUGUCGGUGCCUCCAACGAGGUAAGGUUAUGGGCAUGUGUUACACUGGUUACACUGGCCGGUAAGCAGACAUAACCUUGUGAACUCGUUGUUGUUAUGGUACAGUGUCCCCGUUUGAGACUGUUUAUUUGCCACGACGGUGGUAGUUUUGCCUUUGGUAGGCUGGGCCACCCAGGACUAAGCCCAGUGGGGAGUUGGUCGGAGUGGCCAUAAGAGUGUCAUGGCAAUGGGUGAAUUCUGUCGGAAUGCCGUUGGUCCACCCGAAUGGGAGUGCGAGGCCAUGGAUUUCGUGGUGUGGGUAAAGUGCGCUACCUCUACAGAGUGUAUUAAAUUUAUCGAUAGCCGUGCCCGUGGAUAAGGGCCCAAUUUGUGUCCGUCACACUAUGGGUCAACAGUAAUAAUAAUAACUUGCUUAACAACAACCCUUGUUCGAUGAUGAGAAAGAGAUUGGUUGUGAUCAAGAGAGGAUCACGGAGGUAUCGUGGAUACCAGAGUUGGUUGAUCAUUAUGUGAUCGUGAGAUGAUCACCGUGAUAUCGAGGAUACCGAGUUGUUGGAUAUUCGUGAUGUGUGGGUAUCAUGGGUAAAGAUCAAGCUUCUUGUGGUCAUUUAAUGAUUACUAUGGCAUUGUUUAUACCAAACUUGAUUUGAUUCUGAGAUGAUCGUGUGAUGUCCGAGGCUGGUAAAUGAUGCAUAUGAUGGUUAUGAGAUAACCCGAGCAGAAUAAGUGGCGUAUAUAACGUCGUCAGGUUGCAUGAUAGUAUCAUCAUGUUCAUAUGUUCAUUCCAUGCUCAUAUUGUUCUAGCUGUAUCAUGUUCAUGUUGGUCAUGCCAUGUUAUUCUGAUGAUCUCAUGAUAAUCCCUGCUUAACCUGCAAUUGUCAUGCUGUUGUUUGUCUUGGAUGUUUCUGGUUAUUGUGAGCUUGCAAGUACAUUCAAUAUAUUGACCUGGUGUGUCAUGCCAGUUUGCAGGUCAUGCCGGAAUUGAUUGUUUGUUUGCCGUGGAUCCCUUGUUCGCGAGUUAGGAUAAGCGUUCCAGUCAGAGUCCCUGCGUAGUGGAGUUCGUUGUUCCGCUACUAGAAGUUAUUCUGCUGUUUCGAGUUGUUUUGCUGCUUGCAUAAAGUAACAGUGGCAAGCGUAGUGUCGUCGUGCCGAUGUAAUUUCUCGUUAUAUUAGAACCCCUUGUACCCAAUAUAGAUUGUAAUAAAGAGCUGAUUUGUUCUAUACUAAGUAGUGCCGUAUUUCAGAAGACUUCUUCUCUAUUUCUGGUCUGGAAUACGGAACGAUCCGGUUUCUCUUAGCCGGGGUUGUCACAUUUCUUGUAUUCACGCAUCUUCUGUACUCAGUUCAACACGACCAAGGGCAAGCAGCGCUUCACCACCAUCCGCACUCUAAGCCAUAGGCUGAGGAUGAAAUUAGAGCCGUCACUCCACACCGAGUGAGUGAUUACGAUUGUCACACCAUUUGCAGAGCAGUAAGGAUCCGUGCACCUCACAUGUUGGAUAUUGGCAUUUGUAUCUGAAACAGAAAAAUGGUGUUAUGAUUUACGCAACCUGGGGCACCACCACAGAUGGAUCCGAUAGCAUGUGUUGGCACGUUGCAGCCUACCCCAUUCCUGUAGAGGCUUGCCGAUGCAGAAACAUCGAAGUUGUAGUGUUGCCUGAAAUGUGCCACUCACAUGCUCCAUCUGAAAGUAUAUGUCAGAAACAAGUAGUAGUAUUUUCUUUUUUGACAACAUGUGACCUCCACAAUUUUAGCAGCAUAUCUCAUAUUGAGAUAUGCAAUACUUACUUUUGAUCCCUUUUGUAUCAGAACUAGGGUAAUAUGCCGCUUCUGAAACGAUGAAGUUUGCAUCUACAAACACCAUGGAGAGGAAAGGCAGCAGAAAAAACAUAGAUGUGAGAUGACAAUGAAGUGGAAGAGCCAUUUGUGAUAAGGGGAUGCAGCAACAAGUUUUGGAAAUGGUGCAUGCAAGAGGAAGAUGGAACCAUGUAUGUUUAUAGCCGCUGUGGGUUUCUCAUGAGUCUAAGAUUUGGAAACCUUUGCCCUUCGGUUUUGAAUGGCUGAAACAUGGGAUUGGAGACAUUUUUCUCUCUGGUGUAUAUGUACCUGCAACUUCUUGUUCAUCCUAUGCUGUAUAAGCUGUAGUUCAUGUAAAAUAGUAUUUUGACCUUUUGCACCUCUUUGUACUAUAUACUUAUUCGGCCUGUUUGAAGAUAUUGUUGUGGGCUGGUGGAUUGACAAUGUCCGAUGACUCCGUCCCAAAUAGAAAGGCCAUGGCCUCGCUCACAAUGCUUGCAUCAUGGACAAUAUGGAAUAAAAGGAACACAAGAGUCGUUCAUCACAAGAGCACCCCACCGAUGAUCCUUCUUCAUAAUAUAAAGAAUGAAGCGAAGCUUUGGGUCAUUGCCGGGGUGAAAAAGUUGGGAUUAAUCUAUGCCAUUGCCGGCACGAAAAAGUUGGGAUUAAUCAAUGCCGGGGUGAAAAAGUUGGGAUUAAUCAAUGCCAUUGCCGAGGCGAAAAAGUUGGGAUCAAUCAAUGCCAUUGCCGGGGCGAAAAAGUUGGGAUUAGUAAUGUCGGGGGAGUAAUGACUAAAGACCUAAUGUAAUAUAUUUGGGGCCAUGGGCCAUGUAACAAGCUCCAUUCCCUCUUAAUUAAUGAAUGAGGCAAAAAAAAACUACCUCCAUUAAAAGAAGAUAUUGUUCUCGAACUAGAAUCUAGAGCAAGAAAGAUCUGUAGGGAAGGUGGAACUCAGACUGAAAUGCACCCGGAUGAAAGAUAACAUUGGAAAAACUACUCAUACAAGCACACACUCCCUCCUUCCCAAAUUAAGUGUUUGUACGACUGUAUUUUGGUACCGAGGAAUUACUUUACGUGAUAGAUAAUGGACAAUACUUGUACAUGGAACAUAGAUAAUGGGCAAUACUUGUACAUCGAACAGAUUUGGAGCAGGGUAGUUAGCACAAUUCAGUCAUUCAUACUUCUACAUCGAACAGAUUUGGAGCAGGGUAGUUAGCACAAUUCAAUCAUUCCAAACGUGCCUUCAAAACCAGCGAAUUCCUGCAUGGUUUAGGGGCUGUUUGAAUUGUGACUAUAUUUGUCAUAUAUUGCCACAUUAUUUUUGCCACACUUGCCUAACUUAAUUGCUCAAAUUGUUAGCUACACUUUGGCUUGUCUAAGGGAACCUUACCACACCUUUUGUGUCUAUGACAAUGUGGGAUUCACUUCUCAUAAUUAUUAUUUUUGCCUUAGAUGUGGUAGAACCAAACACCCACCUAACUUGAUCAAACUUGCCUAAGAUGAGGUGUGGCUAAGGCCCUGUUCGGCCAUCCUCCACGGAGCGGAGCGCGCGGAGCAGCGUUUAAUCAACUCCGCAGAUUAUAACUGGAUUGCCGCUCCGCUCUGGCGCGGAGCCGAGGGAAUCCGAACGCGGCCUAAAUGUGGCAAGAUAUGGCUAGAAACCAAACAGCCCCAGUUGCCAAUGGCCUCGUGCACCAAGGUUAAGAGAUUAGGAAAAAGAUGGGAGCUUGGAAAGGAGGAAAUACAUUGACCAUGAUUUGGGAACUAGAGGGGCUACAAAUUAGUUUACUCGUUGAAGCCAUCUCUCCCUUUUGCCAACGACCGUAUGAUGUUAGGCAAGCGGUCAACUUGCUGCUUCCAAGUCCCAGUUAGAGACACACGACAUAAGAUAUGACCGUUGGGAGAAAACAGGAAUGCAAGUUCCAGUUAUUAUUGCAAGUACCUCAUCAACUUCAAAUGUGACAGACAGGGAGCUGCGAGCCUAUCCCGCACUACCUAGUGUACCUCUGACAGCAUUAGACAACUAAAAACUGGGACCGGUCUUGUGUUCUAUCACGUGAUCGAUCGCAUUAAAACAAUCGUGAGACUCAAUGCUCGUAGUGGAGGUGGCUAUAUUUCCAAAGAUCGAAAGAAUAGCCUAAGGUAAAUUGCACAUGAUGAAUGAGCAUGUAUUUUACAGCAUGAGUAGAAUUCUAG